CUGAAUAAGGAGAACAAAUGAACUGUAGGUUGGGAAACAAGAAGCCAUUUUUAAGUGGAUGAAAAGAAAGCAAGCUAAUCUUCUUCUUUUUCUCAUAACCUGUUGUGUUAAAAAGUUUCUCAUCAUGAGCUCAGAUCUUGUGAAAUCUCUUGCUCGGGUGUAUGACCCCAAACCACUACACACUUCAAAACGUACAAAUGGUGGAAGAGCCAGGGCCAGAAGAUCUCCCCUUUCUCCACCAAACAAACAUCCAUCUUCUUCCCUCUCUUCCCAGCUGUCUGCUUCUGAUGAACCCUCCUCGAAAUCUUCAUCUUAUGCUUUUGUACAUAUUGAAGGACGGGUCAAUGCAUUGAGUGGUAAGAUGGACAAACUGCUUGCCCUCCAAGAGGCAGCUCUAAGACGACUGGAUGCCAUUGGUCAAGAGCAAGGCACAUCCACAGGUGGACGGAGUGUGGAGCAGAUGUUGUGUGAUAUGCAUGUUGUCAUAGUAGAAACUGUUAGAGAGAAAGCAGAACAACAAAAUCAAAGACUUGAUGCUUUGGAGCGACUGAUCAACGGAAUUCAACAGGCUGUCAGUUUCAUUACGGAAGUGCAAAAACACUCGAAAUUAGCAGAUCUCUUGAAAAGCAAACACUCAAAAUCCAACAUCAGGCUGAGAGAUAAGGAUGGAAAGGAGAAACCUAAACUGUACCCAAAAGGGUCAAAAACCCAGAAGAAAAAGAAAAAACUAGAUGCAACAGAAAUGGUCACGGCUGGUUUAGAAGAAGUGCAAAAGCUAAAUGAACAGAACACUCAGCUUUCCCAAUGCACAGCGGAGACAGCAGCUAGCACAGAUGUUCCCCUGGAUCUUAUUGAUGACGUGCAAGGAGGAGAGAGUUAUAGAGAAAGGAAGGAAGUGGUGGAGGAAGAAGCAAGAAACGAAGAAACUGCAGCGGAAUUGGUGCAGACAACAGAAGAUAAAGAGGAAAAAGAGAGGACAGAGAAAGAGGUGGAAUUAUUAUUAUCAGAAAAUAUCCAACUAGAUGCUCCAAAUUCAUCUGGCCAGACCGAUGAAAGUAUCGCAGUCAUACAAGAAAGCCACGAGGACCAUCUGGACGUAACUUGCAGCACAAAGCGGCAUGCUACUGAUGAGAAUUUGGAGACAGAUGACCAUAAAAUAAGUAGAGUGCAAGAGGCUUCAGAGGAGGAGGGAUUAAAAGAGGAAGAUAAGGCAAGACUUGAAGUGGCAGAGGCGGGACCAGAGACAAAAGAGGAGGGGACAGAAGAGGAGAGGAAAGAUGGGGAGCCAGUACUUGAAGAAUAUGUCAUUGAUUCCUCCCCUCCUCCACCUGCACCAUUUGAACAUCGUUUAGUUACAACCAAAACCCACCAGAUUGCUAGCUACUACACUAUCAAUAAAGAGGAAGUUCUUGGAGGCGGACGCUUUGGAAUGGUGCACAAAUGUGUGGAGAAAUCUUCUGGGCUCAUAUUAGCAGUCAAGAUAAUUAAAGCCAAGAGUCAGAAAGAAAAGGAGGUAGUGAAGAGUGAGAUUGAGGUAAUGAACCAGUUGAACCACUCCAAUUUGAUCCAGCUCUAUUCCGCCUUCGAAUCUCGCCAUGAAAUCAUUCUAGUGAUGGAGUAUGUUGACGGAGGAGAGCUGUUUGACAGGAUCAUAGAUGAGAACUACAAAUUGACAGAGCUGGACACAGUGCUGUUCAUCAGACAGAUCAGUGAAGGGCUUCAGUAUAUGCACAAGAUGUACAUAUUGCACCUUGACCUAAAGCCUGAAAACAUUCUGUGUGUCAGUCGACAGACGAACAAGGUCAAGAUAAUUGACUUUGGGCUUGCGAGGAGAUACAAGCCCAGGGAAAAGCUAAGGGUGAACUUUGGUACACCUGAGUUCCUGGCUCCUGAAGUUAUCAACUAUGAGUUUGUCUCAUUCCCAACUGAUAUGUGGAGUUUAGGUGUCAUAACUUACAUGCUGCUUAGUGGCCUGUCUCCGUUCCUGGGUGAGGAUGAUAAUGAGACACUAAAUAACAUCCUGGCCUGUCAGUGGAGUUUUGAAGAGGCUGAGUUUGUCGACAUCUCUGAGGAGGCCAAAGACUUCAUAUCACUCCUCCUUGUGAAAAGCAAGAGUUGGAGAAUGAGUGCGUCCCAGUCACUGAAACACCCAUGGCUUUCCGACAGAGGGCUUCAUUAUCGUCUGCACCAGAAGAAAUAAAUAUUUUUGUCUCAUAGAAAAACAAGUGUCACUCCUCACAUGCCCCUCCUCCAGAGGGAUAAACAGAAGCGACCAUUGGCUCUCCUGGUGCCGUGACAAUCUGGACCAAUACUGUGUGAACAGUUACAUCUAUUUAAUAUUACAGUUACAUGCUGUACUUUACAAAGUCUGUUUUUUAAAUACCUCAAUACAACAGCUCAGAAGCUCUCCAACCUUGUAUGCUGAAACAGUACUGCCCUCCACUUAUGGUACAAGAAUAUUUCACUAUUUUGUAAUUCUAAUCCAUGGUAACCAUUUAUGGCUGUAUGACAAACUAUCCCUGUGGUUUAGUCCUUGUUUAAUUUGGCUGUUUGGCAAUUUGGACUGUUUGAGCUGUCUUACCAUACUUUCAUGAUAAUACUACAGUGAUUUGGUCUUGUGCACUUUAUUAUUGGCCAGGAUUGAAAGGAGGUAAACAAUUGCAGCAGAGUAAUCGUAAUUCAAACUCUGUACAAGUUAGUUGUCAGUCAACCUUUGAGUCUUAUCAUGGUAAUAUUCUGUACUUUUUAAUUUCAGGUAAAAUUGUAUUCACUUGAUAUUUAUGAAGACAUUAACAUUUGAAGGUUUCCACAGAAAUUCAAACAGGAAUCUGUACUGUAAUUUACACUUGAAAUUCUAGCACACUUAAUGUCAAAAUCCUGCAAAUAAUGUAUUUUUCUGCCAGUUGUUAAAAGGUCUAAGACCUAAGGACAAAAGAUUUUGGAAUUUGUCUUUGGCAUGUACAUCCUCAUGUUAUUUGUUUUUUAAAAUUGUAUUUAUUCUGUAGAUCAGGAGAAUAAGGAGAUGCUUAGCAGAAUGUCUGUGCUGCUCUCUUUUAUACAUUGUAAGUGGAUGAGAAGCAGCUGCUGUCAUUUGAAGCCAUAUGAUAGCUUUCUGCGAGGAACAGACUGAAAUAUUAGUUGUAAUUCAUUGAAAAUAUUAGCUUGAAAACUUUGACAGCCAUGGUCCCCUUUCACUCUCAUUGUAUGGAAAAGAGCAGUUUGGACAUAAAAAUCUGCUAAAAAUAACUUAUUUUGUGUUCCACGGGAGAAAGAAUGUCAUAUAAGUAUUGAAAGACGAGGGUGAGUUUUUGUGUGAACUAUCGCUUUUAAGUGCAUUACUCAGUAAAGAAAGGCCCCAAAUACAGCUCUUAUGUCCCACUUUUUAUCCUUUAGUAUGCCAUUAUAGUUUCCUCUACACUGAAUGUUUUUAUAGUUUUUUUUUUUUUUACAAAAUGUACUUAAUUCAGUUGUGGACAUUGUCACAUAUUCCCUGUUGUCUUUUGUUUUUGUGCUUUUAUGUUGAAGUUCUUGUUUAGUUCAUGUUUCCCGGUUUUUGUAGUUCUUUGUAGUUUAAUUUUAUGAUUGGUUUUCCCCUGAUUGUUUAUCAUUCCCUGAUUGUUUCCCCAGGUGUCCCUUGUUUCCCCCAGUUAAUUUGUCAGUUCUUGCAUAUUUUGUUAUGCUCUGUGCUAGAUUCCCUGUGUUUUUCUUUAUUCUGAGUUUUCUUGUUUAUUUUAAUAAAGCUGCACUUAGAUCCUCAUUAUUUGCCUGCUUCGUCACAGAAAACAAUCAGGGGAAAACCAAUCAUAAAAUGAAACUACAAAGAACUACAAAAACCUUACAGGAAACAUGAACUAAACAAGAACUUCAACAUAAAAACAAAAGACAACAGGGAAUAUGUGACAGACAUGGGUUCAACACACUGAAAAUGAGUCUCUUUGAAAUUAAAAUAUAAUACUUUGUGUAGCGAAAACAUUUGAGUUAACCUAAUAUAAAUUUUGCUGUUCAAAUAACUUUGUUGAACCUUGCAGCUUGUUGAUAGCUAUAGCAACAAAUACAUUAGCAUAUUAUAUAUACUGGAUAUUAUUAUGUGUGCGUGUGUGUGUGUAUAUAUAUAUAUAUAUAUACACACACAUACAUGCAUACAUACAUAAACACCAUAUACAGUACUGUGCAAAGGUUUUAGGCACUUAAGAGGUUUCACAAAUGCAUUUGUCUUAAGAUGGUUAUUUAUAUCUUCAGUUUUAGUGUCAAUAGGAAAUAUAACUGUUAGACUCACAAACAUUACUUUUGCAAAUAGAAAAGAUUAGAAUAGAAGAACAGAGUGCUCUGCAAGAGAUGUCAUGGCCCCCACAAACCCCCCCACUGAAUAUUGAGUCAGUCUGGGAUUACAUGAAGAGACAGAAGCAAUUGAGACAGCCGAAAUAGUUAUAAGAACUGUGGUGAAUUCUCAAAGAAGCUUGAAAGAUCCUAUCUGCCAACAACCAAGUAAAAGUGUAUCCAGGUGUACCUAUGAGAAUUGGUGUUGUUUUAAAGGUAAGGUGGUCACAUCAAAUAUUGAGCUUUGUUUAAGUUUACUAGACUUUGUAUGAUUUGUAUGUUAAUUGAUCAAUUAAAACUAUUUAUCGCAUUUGAAGACAUCCUCACUAUGCAACAUUUUUCACAAGUGCCUAAAACUUUUACACAGUACUGUAUAUUUAUAUAUAUAUAUAUAUAACAAGUGUGGUGCUGCUGAGAGCUUACGUUGAUUUUUCAGGAGUAAUUUACUCAACCUUGACCUUCUCCACAAUGCUAAACUCACAAAGAAAUUCAGCAUGACAGAAGCUCCUCUAAAUCCCAACAUAACAGAACAUUAAACACUACUAAUUGUUUCAUUUUGCGUAAAAAUACAUUAAAAUAACACUUAAUUUGAAAAUUUACUCUCCCAAUCAUGCAGGAACUGGAAAUGCCCUGCCGUAUUUCAUUUUCAGUACAUUAUUGAUGCAACAAAUAUUAUUCACAUACUCCAAUCACAAUUGGAUUAAGUGAACAUAGAAGGAUUGUACACAAUGAAAUUAAGUUGAGACCAAAUGCUAAAUUAUUGUGUUGCAUUAGCUCAUUUUAAAUAAGUAAAUUGAGCAAGAAGUGAAAAUCACGUUGUGUGAACACCAUCCGUUAGAAGUCUGAAUCCAUUUGAACAUUUCAUAAUAAUGUGAUCAUAUCACUUUUUGAUGACUGUUGAAUAUCACUUGGACUUCACGCAAUAUAAUUAUGUUCUCAUCUCAAACCUAAAUGUAUUAAGUUGAUUUCAAAUGUACUGGCUUAGUAUUUUCAAUAGAGCUGCUUUCUCUUUUUUCAGUGUAUGGUAAAUGUGCAAUCUGUGCCUUUAAAAAAAAAAAACAUGGAACAAUGACUCUAGCUGCUGAUCAGAUAAUUCAUUCAAUUUUAUUUUUAAGCUUGAAAUUUGAGACUGGGAGACUGACACUAAGACCUCAUUGACUCGAAGGAUCUUUCAGGCAACAAUAUAGUCUUGCUCACUCCCUCUCUUUUUAGAUCUCACCUUCCAUGAAGGCAAUCGAAAAAAAAAAAAACAAGAAACAGAA